rnacentral:lncRNA from 1 species
CAAAGCAUGUAUAUUCUGAAAUCCAUGAACAAUCAACAAGAAAAUAGCGCUGAACAAAAGCACGGCAGACAUGUUCUGCAAAUUUCCAAAGCCUGUGCUUGAGGGAAAAUUGAAAUGCAAAUAAAAAGGAUGACUUACGGCGAUCUGCAAGCGGCAGUGCUGGACUCAGACGAGGUGGUGGUGGUUUCCGGUGGUGGCAGUGGCCACAGCAAUCGCUUGUUGAUUCCUCUGUUUCCGUCUACUCUCUGGCUCUCUCUCUCUCCUUCGUUCUUGGCCUCACCCGAAAACUUCCCCUCAAUGUUCCCAAACCUUCCCCCUUUUCUGGCUCUGCGUUUUCUUCAUUCCUCCACCUCUCGGCCCUCUUAGAUUUUUUUUCCAACCCAAUCCCUCUUUCGGCCUUCAACUCCUUGCUUUCUGUUUUUCCGUGAACGAAGCUCCCUGGACUUUUCCUCCUCCUUGUCCCGCUGCUACUGCUCCUUUUCCUUUCAUCCGUGGCCUCCCCCCAGAUUUUUCCCUUCGUUUGCUCUUGUUUUCUAAUUUUUUUUAGCCCAUGACCUUCUUGCUCAGCCCACUCCCUCUCGGCUCUCCCUGUUUUCUUUCUUUCCCUCUGCUCUU